rnacentral:miRNA from 1 species
AGGCGACUCGGCUGCCUGCAG